AACGAACGCUGGCGGCAGGCUUAACACAUGCAAGUCGAACGCCCCGCAAGGGGAGUGGCAGACGGGUGAGUAACGCGUGGGAACAUACCCUUUUCUACGGAAUAGCUCUGGGAAACUGGAAUUAAUACCGUAUACGCCCUACGGGGGAAAGAUUUAUCGGGGAAGGAUUGGACCGCGGUGGAUUAGCUAGUUGGGGGGGUAAAGGCCUACCAAGGCGACGAUCCAUAGCUGGGCUGAGAGGAUGAUCAGCCACAUUGGGACUGAGACACGGCCCAAACUCCUACGGGAAGCAGCAGUGGGGAAUAUUGGACAAUCGGCGCAAGCCUGAUCCAGCCAUGCCGCGUGAGUGAUGAAGGCCUUAGGGUUGUAAAGCUCUUUCACCGAUGAAGAUAAUGACGGUAGUCAGAGAAGAAGCCCCGGCUAACUUCGUG
rnacentral:rRNA from 1 species